AAUUAUAACCAGGGCGGCACCUUUUGUUGGUUGACGUGGUCGCCAUAUUGUAAACAAACAGGGAUGUCCUGCUGUUCCUCUCUUUAGCUCACCGGGUGUUCAGAUAUAAACGAGGCAGACAUUUACAGGAGAGGAAACCUUAAUUGUAAUAGUGAUGUAAUUUACUGUGAUGCAACUGAAGCAAACUAAAUGCGUUUAGCAAUUUGUUUCUUUUUUUCUAUAAAGUGUGAAUUUAGUUAAGGAACAUAGAAGAAAACCUGCAAUAUAUGAUUAUUCUAAUAGUUACUAUAUAUAAUAAUGCUGGCUGAAUUCAUCUGUUUAUUGCUUUCUCUCUUUUCUUUCACCACUGCACUGAUCUACUGCUUGGACCAAAGCCACGAUGUAACACUUUAGUCUGAGAGCUGGAUGCUGCCUGAUGGAGAGCACUGCUGUAGAAGCUAACUUGGGAAGGUUUGGGUCCCAUGAUGCUGCAGUCUAUAUACUGUAUGGGUGAAUAUUGCCGACAGAGGGCGCUAAUCUAGUGCACAAUGAAUGCUGUCCUAAAGAACAUGGAAUCGGAUACCAAAUCAUGCUGGAUUGAGGCUCGGGCCGCCGAGUGAGACGUGCAGCAAGUGUUGUGGCUGCGUUGGUUUCCCGGCUCUCCACAUUUUCCCCGGUUGUCUCGUCCUAAGAGACAAGUGAAACCGUCCCCCGCACCUUGUACGCAAGCUGAUGAACUGAUAUGAGCAAAUGGGAGGAUGCAGACACUGCUGUCAGUGCUGAUGAGGGACAGGAGCUACGGGCCGGCCUUUACUGCACCGCGCUGAGUCUCUCUGCAUUGAGGAGCACUUGAGGCGAGCUGGAUAGAGAACGUUUGUCGAUGCUCCUGGGAUUGAUGGGUGGAACACGGGCUAAACGAAGGCCACCAAUCCCUCUUAGAGCCAAAGCCAAAGACAAUAAACAAAACUUUGGUUAAAAAAGUGAGCCUCUC
rnacentral:lncRNA from 1 species